CGUAAACAAAGGGAAGCGAAGUGGCGACAUGGAGCAAAUCCCAAAAAUAACGUCCCAGUUCGGAUUGUAGUCUGCAACCCGACUACAUGAAGCCGGAAUCGCUAGUAAUCGCGAAUCAGAAUGCCGCGGUGAAUACGUUCCCGGGUCUUGUACACACCGCCCGUCACACCAUGGGAGUUGGAAAUGCCCGAAGUCAGUGGCCCAACCGGAAGGGGGGAGCUGCCGAAGGCAGGUUCGAUGACUGGGGUGAAGUCGUAACAAGGUAUC
rnacentral:rRNA from 1 species